rnacentral:lncRNA from 1 species
AUGUUGAUUUGCUGAUCAAUGGGUCAAAACUAGGUGUACUCGAUGAUAACUGGGUUCAUGGGAGUGAAGAGUUUAUUCCUAGCCAGUUUUGAUUGUUCAUGGUGGAUUUUUAGACAGCUUGAGAGUUCGGGGUUGAAUCUUAGACAAAUUGAAUGGUUCGGAACUGCAAUGUGAACUUCUCCCAUAGAGUUAUAAUGGUCAUGUUAGUGGAUAGGCAAACAAUUAUAGCAAACCAAGUUGAAUGGACAAUACUAUGCAUGUAUAAAUAUGAACAUUCAGAAGCCACAUGAGCCCGCUAAGUUAAGGACAAUUAUGACAUGUAUAAAAUCCUACACAUAUGUUGGACUACGGAAUCACAUGUAUGUUCAUAAAUGCCAUGAAGCCUUUGUUAGCUCUUAUACGUGUUAUGUUGGUUGCUUGGGCUAUAAAAUAAUUGUAUGAUGGUUGGUGAGACAAAUAAGGUCUAAGACACCACGCCAUGUACACAACAACCGAUCUGUAAAUGCCCGACUUUAGUGUAGCAAACCCACCAACUCACAUACACUGUCUAUUAUCCACGAGAAAAUAUAUAUGAGAGUGAGGGAAAUUACGAAGGCGAAUUUCAUCGCACUCUUAUUUAAUAAAAAGAUGAAAUCGUCUAAUAAUAGGAUGCAUUGAGAAAUCAAAUUCUAGGUAUAAAGGGAGACAUGGUCUAUCGAGUAUGUUUAAUCUAACAUAUAUGAUAUGUCAUCCUUCCCACCUAGCCAAAGGCGAUCAUGAGCAUCGUGCAAGAAUCAAGGCCUAAUUUCAAUGUGUUCGAACAGAACUUCGGAGUUAUGGGAACGACAACCCACGUGUCCAUUGCUCACUCGUAGAACUUGCAAAAGGCCUUGGUAGAGCGUUACAAGCGUAGGAGUUUCAAAAAAAAUGUACCCAAAGUUGUAUUGCCUAGUUUUUAAGGAAGUUGUAAGAGGGUUUUGUGGUGCAUGAUUCAGAUGAUGGUAGCAAGCGAGGAUUUUUUCCCUUUUCCCUCCCCACCCAUCCACGCUCAAAAUGCACCAUCACGGUCAGGAUAUGGAACCUAGGGUUUUUGCACCACUAUCGCUAACCAACCAUGACAAGCGGUAGUUCCCCCAUCUAUACCUCUCCAGCGGUAGUACCGACACCAAGAUUGUUUUUCGCCUUGCUUUGAUGGUACACUUUGUCGCCCUCGCGACGACUGCACCAUAGACUCACCCUAUGCCACCAUCUAGGACACUCUCAUAAUAUCAUCGCUACAAUAUCUGGUCCCAAUCCUCACCCAUGAACCCUCGUGGUUGUAACUAACUUGCUAGCUUUAGUGCUGCAGGCGGAGCAUAUCAAGGGCCAUCACGCGUGGAUCUGUGGUGUGUUCUUGAUGUUUAGGAAGCGCAUGACAUUAAGAUAGAUCCAUCGAGGUGGCUGUUGUGGGGAGAGGGGUACUAAUAUAGUCUACAACAACAAGCAGGACAGACGACACAAGAUGAGAUUGGGAGAGUGUGGAGAAAAUAAGGGGAAGGGAACAAGAUGGUAUGUGUGACAUUUGGGAGCGACACAAACAAACUGUAUGAUAAAAAUACGCAUGGCCUAUUGUGGGAGAAAUAAACAUGAUCCAUGUAUUUCGUCACAUGUGUUCUUGUUGCAGCCUCAUGCAAGCAUUUGAUGAUAUGGAAAAUGCCAAUGCUUAAGUUAAAUUUAUUGGUUAAGUAACCGAUGCUCACACCCAAAAGAUAAAGGUAGUGUCACACAAACACUUGUUAGUUGCUUGCCAUCAUCCUUAAGAUUACUGGAAUUGGCAUAUGCUACUUGCGAUAUAUAACUAGUAUGUGUGAGGUUAUCCUAUACAUAUAAAUGUUCCUUCAAGUUGAGUAACACGAGGGGGAAAUUAUUUGUUUUCAUCCAAUAGAACUUAGAAAUACUAGUAUAAGGAGUUUUGAAUAAUAGAACUAUAAACAACCCCUCAUGUUUACAUGUUCCCCUACAUCUCAUAUUACAAACAAAUUUGUAGACCUUUGGAAAUCAUGCCCAUGAGGUGUGAAGGGAAAGACAUGUUUGUUGGUUUUUUCAGCAACCACGUGUGUUCAGAGUUGACCCCCACGCGAAAGCUCUCCAGGAAUGAUGCCCUUUCUCGAUUCUGGUGAGCAUAGGUAUAAGGGCAUAUUUCUACUCGAGUAGUUUUGGUGAUUGAUGACAAUACAUUUGCGGACGAAUCGUGUGCGAUAAGCCUUUCAGGUACUUCCUCUGUUUGCACAAAGACGAUUCAUGCCCCUCGGUGUAUUGAUAUGAAGACGGUUUUCUCUCUUGUGUUUAGUUGUCGGUGGACUUGAGUCGUAGGAAAAGCCAUACUAUUAAGAAGGGAUCCGCUUCAGAAAAGUCUGGGUGGAAUCAUCACGUACAAUUUCCUCUCACCCUAUUUUCUUCUUCAAUGGAGCUUUCUUCUCUGCCAAAAUCUCUGUCGUGAAAGUUCCAAGCGGUAGUACCGC